rnacentral:rRNA from 1 species
CCUACGGGAGGCAGCAGUGAGGAAUAUUGGUCAAUGGGCGAGAGCCUGAACCAGCCAAGUCGCGUGAAGGAUGACGGCCCUACGGGUUGUAAACUUCUUUUGUCAGGGAGCAAUUGAGUCCACGUGUGGUCUUAGCGAGAGUCCCUGAAGAAAAAGCAUGGGCUAACUCCGUGCCAGCAGCCGCGGGAAUACGGAGGAUGCGAGCGUUAGCCGGAUUUAUUGGGUUUAAAGGGUGCGUAGGCGGAAUAUCAAGUCAGCGGUAAAAAUUCGGGGCUCAACCCCGCCGUGCCGUUGACACUGGUGUUCUUGAGUGGGCGAGAAGUAUGCGGAAGGCGUGGUGAAGCGGUGAAAUGCAUAGAUAUCACGAAGAACUCCGAUUGCGAAGGCAGCAUACCGGCGCCCAACUGACGCUGAAGCACGAAAGCGUGGGUAUCGAACAGGAUUAGAUACCCCAGUAGUC